GGACUUGAAUCCCUUUAUUGUAGAUAGAUUAUUGCAUGAGUCACAGUAUAUAUCUGAAAAACCCAUCGGGCAAUUCAAGUCCGGCUUGAAGGAGGGAGGGGAUCGGCUAAUAGCCAAAACUUCGUUGAUUUUUCAAAACGAUCUCUUUUCAUAAGACACCAAUCCAUGAAUUCCACCUUCGACCUGUGCUGCCCCUGUACGGACCUCUAGCCUUAAAACCUUUGAGCAUAAGAGGUCAUGGGCAGAUUUGAUGGAGAUAGCACCAAGAUCUUGGAACCCUUGCUUGACUGCUUGCAUGGUGUAAGGAAUGAACUUCAGGACUGAACCCUUAUCAGCAACUGCUCCAACAACCCCCUGAGCUAUCUUAAGAGUUGCAGUAUCCCCCAGGUACCUGGCAUCACUGCCUUUCGUCAUUGCUUCUAAAGAGCCCAUCCCCCGAUACUUCUUCACACGCUGACCAUUCUUAGUUUCGAAGGCCCCAGGGGCCUCGGUGCUCCCAGCCAAGAAACUUCCCAUCAUUACCGUGGAUGCACCAAGAACUAAAGCCUUAACAAUAUGCCCAGA
rnacentral:misc_RNA from 1 species